GACGAGAGGGGCGAGCGUUAUCCGGAAUAACUGGGCGUAAAGGGUCCGUAGGUUGUAUUUUGUAUGCUUUUAGUAAAAGACAAAAAUUUAAUUUUUGAAAUGCUUUAAGUACAGAUCUACUAGAGUUUAGCAGAGGAUAAUAGAAUUCCAUGUGGAGGGGUGGAAUCCUAAGAUAUAUGGAGGAAUGCCAGUAGCGAAAGCGAUUAUCUGGGCUAUUACUGACACUGAGGGACGAAAGCGUAGGUAGCAAACAGGAUUAGAUACCCUGGUAGUCCCUGAG
rnacentral:rRNA from 1 species